UACGGGGGAGGCAAGCGUUGUUCGGAAUUACUGGGCGUAAAGGGCUCGUAGGCGGCCAACUAAGUCGGAUGUGAAAUCCCCAGGCUCAACUUGGGAACUGCAUCCGAUACUGGAUGGCUUGAAUUCGGGAGAGGGAUGCAGAAUUCCAGGUGUAGCGGUGAAAUGCGUAGAUAUCUGGAGGAAUACCGGUGGCGAAGGCGGCAUCCUGGACCGACAUUGACGCUGAGGAGCGAAAGCUAGGGGAGCAAACGGG
rnacentral:rRNA from 1 species